AGGGCCUUGGCUGCAUCUUUGGGGUUCACGAAUGACCCCAUAGGACACAAAGGCAAUCCGCGUCACCAGUUGGGUUCCCAUACGACCCCAUAAGACACAAAGGCAAUUGGGGUCACCACUUGGGUUCCCAUAUGACCCUAUAGGACACAAAGGGCCUUGGCUGCAUCUUUGGGGUUCAGGAAUGACCCCAUAAAACAUAGAGGGCCUUGGCUGCAUCUUUGGGAUUCAGGAAUGACCCCAUAGGACACACAAAGGCAAUCGAGGUCACCAUGUGGGUCCCAGUAUGACCCCAUAGGACCAUUUCUCCCCCGAAGCUCCAUGGGGCUGAACCCACAAUCCUUCCCCGCUCACCCCACAAUUCCCAAACCAUAAAGUCCCCACCAUAGAGCCCCAUAGGGUUUUGGGGAACCCCCAGCAAAGGAUUUAGGGGGGUCCCUGCCAUAGGGCCCCAUAGGAUUUAGAGGGACCCCCAGCAAAGGAUUUGGGACAGGGGUCUCCACCAUAAGAGUUCCUAAGAAUUUAGGGGGACCCCCACUAUAGGAUUUUUGGGGGACCCCACCAUACAGCCCCAUAGGAUCUGGGGGGACCCCCACCACAAUGCCCCGUAGGAUUUGGGGGGGACCCCACAAUGACAUUCCAUAGGAUUUGGGGGUCUCCUUUAUUAUGGGGGGGAAGAGGGGGGGUCCCAGUGCCCCCACCCCAUACGUGGGGGAUCCUCCCCUAUUCACAGGGAGGUGGGGGGGUCCUGUUGCCCCCUCCCCAAUUAAGAAGGGGUUCCUAUUUGUCGUCCCCCCCCCUUCCAUUAAAGCUGCC
ensembl:lncRNA